CGCGAAAACUUUACAAUGCCGGCAACGGCGAUAAGGGAACCUCGAGUGCCAGGUUACAAAUCUGGCUGUCGUGAUGCCUAAAAAGCAUUGCAUAGCAAGGGCCGGGCAAGACCGGUGCCAGCCGCCGCGGUAACACCGGCGGCUCGAGUGGUAACCGUUAUUAUUGGGUCUAAAGGGUCUGUAGCCGGCCGGGUAAGUCUCUUGGGAAAUCUGGCAGCUUAACUGUCAGGCUUUCAGGAGAUACUGCCUGGCUCGAGGCCGGGAGAGGUGAGAGGUACUUCAGGGGUAGGGGUGAAAUCUUGUAAUCCUUGAAGGACCACCAGUGGCGAAGGCGUCUCACCAGAACGGGCCUGACGGCAAGGGACGAAAGCUAGGGGCACGAACCGGAUUAGAUACCCGGGUAGUCCUAGCCGUAAACGAUACUCGCUAGGUGUCGGCCACGGUGCGACCGUGGUCGGUGCCGUAGGGAAGCCGUGAAGCGAGCCACCUGGGAAGUACGGCCGCAAGGCUGAAACUUAAAGGAAUUGGCGGGGGAGCAC
rnacentral:rRNA from 1 species